CAGGGAAGAUGCAUGGCAUUACCAUCCUUUUGUAAUCCAAAUCCUUUGUAAAGGAUUUUCUGCACAGUCUUCUUCUCAGUUUUCUACUAUAGUUUUCCAGUUUCUCUUUGUGCUUUUGCUUUUUAAGUUUUGUUAGGGUUUAUUUAAGCUCCCAGAGCAUAAAAAUCAACAUAAAAUCUUUAAGAGCUAGUUUACGUUGACCAGCUGUCACAGAAAGAGAGAGAAAUGUGUGGGAUAGUGGUGGACAAUAUGUGCACAGAGGAAGGUAGGCAUUUUAGAGUUGUUAAAUCCUAUUGCUAAGCCCAGGGCUUAACAGGCUUCACAUUUUUUUGCUUCAGGGUAUCAUGGUACAGUGAAAGCAAGCUGAUGGGCUCCAUUAGCAUGAAUGAUAGCUUCCUUCUACACACAAGUCAAUUUGCAGCUUUUACAGAUCAGAGUGAAAUUUUGGCCCCGUGAAGUCAGUGCUAACAUCGUGCUAACUUCAAGAAGGUAUGGGAGGCAGCCCAUCCCUAACAGAUACUAAAACACAGAAACAAACAAAACAAAAAAUGAAAAGAAAAAAAAGGGAGGCAAAGAGAAUACACUGAAGAGGGGAAAAAAAGAAGUGAUCGCCGUGAUUGAAGGUGAGAAAAAUGAUUAAAAAAAGAUAUAGAGGAGAGUCAGUGUAUAAAAAAGAAGGGGAUAGGGCACCCUCACUGCUCCCUUGAGAUGCCCAAGUAGCUGUUGACUACUGACCCAUGGUACUGUGCAAGGAGCUGUGGCAGAGCCAGGCAUUUGUAAAAGGAGUUAUAAUCUUUACCUACCAAGUCUCCCAGUGACACCAGAUAAGUUCAGAAAAUGUGGAGGAUCAUCAACAACAUUGCCUUCUGGGGGUGUGUAGGGAUCUUAGCACUUUGUGUCUUGAGUGGGAUGGACUGAUGAAAC
rnacentral:lncRNA from 1 species